GAUAAACCAACAUCUCUACCUCUAUACACAUUUGUUUCAUCUUUUAUAAUCAGUCCUUAUCAUUACAUGCAUGUUCUUCAUUCUCAUGCUCUUUGUUGGCGCAUGAUUUGGUGUAUCUUUGACAUAAUUCCUUCAUUGGCCAAAUUUGCUUUAGUUUCACCACCACUAUCAGAUAUGAAAUGAUACUGAAUUCACUUUAGUUUCACCACCACUAUCAAAUAUCAAAUAUCAACAGACAUUCAAGACAGUUGCUCUAUAUGGAUCGUGUGCACCUUGGGUAAAUAACUUGGCAUUUCACAGCGAUUGAUUGAUUCUAAAUUGUUUGGAAUCUUAUAGGAUUUGUGAUAUUUGGGAUAUUUUGAUAAACAUGAUGCAUAGGUGUAGUAUAUGCCUUUUGUUAAUGUUUGGAGCAAUCAAUAGUUGUGAAGCUAGUUCCAUUACAUUAACUAGAAUUCUUUGCUUGCUUUAUUCCUAUUUUCAGGAAAUGGUGAAGGGUCACUACACCAAAAUCGCACAUCUAUUGGAUUUGAUGAAUUGAAAUGAGGUUGAUCAAAGACUAUAACUUCUGGAGUUGCUUAUCUUUUAAGGCUGAGAGGAAUCGGUACUUAUGUGUCUGGUUCGAUCUUCCCUCAAAGUGAGAUUGUAGAAAUUGAUGUGCGCACACAUCUGCAAAUUGAAAAAAUAACAUGUUACAGCUACAUCGGGAUGCCUAGUGAUUGGGCAGCAUGAUGGGUCAAUUUGCUGCUUCCAACUUGGCUUACUUGACCAGAGUGCACUAGGUAUUCUUUUAAUAAUGGGAAGAUUAUAUAUGCAUGAAUGUGUUCACUUUUCUUCUUCUUUAUUCUGUGUUUAUACAACAUUAUAUGAAGGCACAAAUGUUACUUGUCUCUUGCACAACACAGCAAAAGAAACUUUUAUUGAGGAAACAAUGAGUCAAUGACCCAUAUUUUGCUAGUGAUGAACAAUAGUUUCCUAGGGUCAAUGUCUUUCAACAGUAGCUGUUAAAUAGCAUUUGGAUAUGUGUCAUUCAAGAAAUUGACUUUUGUUGGCUGGCUUUUAUUAUUAUCUUUUGAAUCAUAAGCUAAUAUCUAUCAGUUGUGUGGCCCACUGUCUAAUCUUCAGCAAAUGAAUUAGCUGUGAUCAUUUGUUAGAUCUAGAUAUUCAUUGGAGUUUCAGCUUCCCUCCUUUAACAUGAUUGAAGGCGGUCUUUAGAAAAUGUGAUAGGUGGGGUUGUGGACAAUGCUUGAGUAUGUGAAGCUGGCUUGAAAGCAGUUCAAUCCGGACUUGCAUAGGCUGAAGAGGAUGAGAGUUAUAUCUUUAUAUCAUCAAUGCUCAGCUUAUUGGCUUAGUAUGGUAUACGGCCACAUGCAAUAAAUGCUUCUGCUAUUGCUAAUAGUGCAAAGGUAUAUCUGUAUGAUAAGUUUUUGUGUUAAUCCAAUCUUUUGAAUCCUUUAUCAGCUUGAUUUUGUAAAUUCAAU